AAAGCAGAGAGAGAGAGAGAGAGAGAAGGAAAGAAAGAAAGCGAAUGAAUAUCUUUCUCUCGCGCUUAUACUGCUCCUGCAAACCUUAUUCCUCUAGUUUGCAACUCCAUCCGAACUUUUCGACCCAUAGAAACCUCGUUGCGGGAUGAGUUCAUAUGUAAUUCUGCUACAGAUCAGUUCGACAAUGACGCUUAUCGUCACUGUUGUUCUCAACACCUUUUGUUGUUUUACUUUUUAUUUCUUCUUUCUUUCUUUCUUUCUUUUUUUU
rnacentral:miRNA from 1 species